rnacentral:rRNA from 1 species
GAUGAACGCUAGCUACAGGCUUAACACAUGCAAGUCGAGGGGUCUUUAGGGCUUGCUCUAGAGACGACAGGCGCACGGGUGAGUAACGCGUAUCCAACCUGCCCUUCAUAUUGGGAUAGCCUUCCGAAAGGGAGAUUAAUACCGAAUAACAUGGAAAGAUUGCAUGAUAUUUCCAUGAAAGCUCCGGCGAUGAAGGAAGGGGAUGCGUUCCAUUGGGUAGUAGGCGGGGUAACGGCCCACCUAGCCAACGAUGGAUAGGGGUGCUGAGAGGAAGGUCCCCCACACUGGAGCUGAGACACGGUCCAGACUCCUACGGGAGGCAGCAGUGAGGAAUAUUGGUCAAUGGGCGCAAGCCUGAACCAGCCAAGUAGCGUGAAGGAUGACUGCCCUAUGGGUUGUAAACUUCUUUUUUACGGGAACAAAUGUGACUACGUGUAGUUAUUUGCGUGUACCGUACGAAUAAGCAUCGGCUAACUCCGUGCCAGCCGCCGCUGUAACAC